rnacentral:rRNA from 1 species
CUUGGAUUAUCACAUUCUUGUUUUAGAGAAGUAAGGAAGGGUUUAACUAUUCGUCAAAUGAGGUGGUACAUGAUCUGGGUUCAUUCUAUCUACUCACAUUUUUUUAAUAAGUUUCUUAUUAUAUAUAUUUUUAGUAUAAGAGGAUUAAUAGAUUCAAUCUAUAAUCUAAUCAUUAUAUAACUAUUAAGUAUUGAUUUUUUUAUAAAUACUAAAUUAUAAUUAUAACCUAUUCUUUUUCUUAUUAUUUUCAUUAGAUUAUGUUUGAUAUUAAAUAUCAUUAUAGUGAUAUAUUUUUAUUAUUUUGAUUAUACAUUACUUGUAUCAUUUUUAUUAGACAUUAUUUUUAUGAUCUUCCAAGUAAGUAGAAAUCUUUAUAUUAUG